rnacentral:rRNA from 1 species
AUCAUCGCCUGUUUACCAAAAACAUCACCUCUAGCAUAACAAGUAUUAGAGGCAUUGCCUGCCCAGUGACUAAAGUUAAACGGCCGCGGUAUCCUGACCGUGCAAAGGUAGCAUAAUCACUUGUUCCUUAAUUAGGGACUAGAAUGAAUGGCUAAACGAGGGUUCAACUGUCUCUUACUUUCAAUCAGUGAAAUUGACCUUCCAGUGAAGAGGCUGGAAUACUACAAUAAGACGAGAAGACCCUAUGGAGCUUUAAUUUACUAGUUUAAUUUAUAUAAUAACAACCUAAUGGACCAAGACAAAAUAAAUAUAAACUAAAAAAUUUCGGUUGGGGUGACCUCGGAGAAUAGAAAAUCCUCCGAAUGAUUUUAACCUAGACCUACAAGUCAAAGUAAUAUUAAUAUCUUAUUGACCCAAUUAUUGAUCAACGGACCAAGUUACCCUAGGGAUAACAGCGCAAUCCUAUUUAAGAGUUCAUAUCGACAAUUAGGGUUUACGACCUCGAUGUUGGAUCAGGACAUCCCAAUGGUGCAGAAGCUAUUAAUGGUUCGUUUGUUCAACGAUUAA